GGACCAUCCUCCAAGGCUAAAUACUCCUGACUGACCGAUAGUGAACCAGUACCGUGAGGGAAAGGCGAAAAGAACCCCGGCGAGGGGAGUGAAAAAGAACCUGAAACCGUGUACGUACAAGCAGUGGGAGCCCCACCACUAAGCCAGUGGUGAACUCCACAUACGCAUCCUUUGCUGAGGAUACGGUUAACGGAGCGAAAGCGACGUUCAACCGCAAAAGAAGCAGAGGGGGCUUAGUGGUGGGGUGACUGCGUACCUUUUGUAUAAUGGGUCAGCGACUUAUAUUCUGUAGCAAGGUUAACCGUAUAGGGGAGCCGGAGGGAAACCGAGUCUUAAUUGGGCGUUAAGUUGCAGGGUAUAGACCCGAAACCCGGUGAUCUAGCCAUGGGCAGGUUGAAGGUUGGGUAACACUAACUGGAGGACCGAACCGACUAAUGUUGAAAAAUUAGCGGAUGACCUGUGGCUGGGGGUGAAAGGCCAAUCAAACCGGGAGAUAGCUGGUUCUCCCCGAAAGCUAUUUAGGUAGCGCCUCGUGAAUUCAUCUCCGGGGGUAGAGCACUGUUUCGGCUAGGGGGCCAUCCCGGCUUACCAACCCGAUGCAAACUGCGAAUACCGGAGAAUGUUAUCACGGGAGACACACGGCGGGUGCUAACGUCCGUCGUGAAGAGGGAAACAACCCAGACCGCCAGCUAAGGUCCCAAAGUCAUGGUUAAGUGGGAAACGAUGUGGGAAGGCCCAGACAGCCAGGAUGUUGGCUUAGAAGCAGCCAUCAUUUAAAGAAAGCGUAAUAGCUCACUGGUCGAGUCGGCCUGCGCGGAAGAUGUAACGGGGCUAAACCAUG
rnacentral:rRNA from 1 species